ACCCUUCUGUUGAACACAAGUCACUUUCUUCUGGUUCCACGAGCGCUGUCUUCUCACCAGGUCAUCCUGAAACAAAAAUGGAAACAUUUGGAAAUUCCAUGUUUCACACAGUAACAGUGGACGUUUUCCUAAGGACUGAAAAGUAUCCUACAAGCUACAAGUAGCAUAUGGCUACUUCUUUGGCGUUUCCACAUCUUAUGAUGAGGCUGGCCUUUUGCUGAUCAUGACACCAGAGAAUCAAUACCAAGCAGAGAAGCAGAUGGAAAGUGCCAGGCAGAAUCCUUGAAAAUGCCACGGCGCAUUGAUAAAGGAUCGCUCUGGCUGUCGCUUGAAGAAUGAAGGGAGGGUUGGGACCUGGGGGCCCACGUACGGAGACCACUGAACCAGCUGUUGUAGGAGUCUCGACUAAUGACCCCCGUGGCGUGGCCCAGCGUGGAGGCAGCAUCGGUGGAAGUGAGCAGACAGACUCAUGAGGGCCAGAGGGGAGAAAAGACGAUGGUCAAAGGAAGUUAAAGGGCACUGCAGCAAACGAUAUCUACUUCACAAUCGUGUCCUGACACUAACAAGCUGUAAAUGGCAUUCACCUGCAGACAAAUAAACGGGCGACUCUGGUCACACUG